GCCUAGUUAGCUUGGUGGGUAGCGCCCCUGCCUUAUGAGCGCUAGGUCGCGGGUUCGAUUCCCGCCCGGGGCG
rnacentral:tRNA from 1 species